rnacentral:lncRNA from 1 species
UCUUGUCCUUGAAAUCAGUAGAAUAUCCAUGAAGUUUAUAGCAGGUGUCCUUUGUAUGACCUUUCAUGUGACAGUAGUCACAUUGCAGUGUAGGCCUCCCAAAAUUAUUUCUAGGUUUGAAGUUGCUAUUUCCAUUUCCUGCAUUAGCUUUACUCAUCAGUGUUGUAGGCUCACCAAUGCCAACAUUUAGGGCUGCACUAUUUUUUCUUUGGCUCUCAUCAUUAACUACCAUAGCUUAAGCUUGAUUAACAUUAGAAAGUGGUCGAAUAAUGAGAAUAUGAUCUUUAGCAUUGUCAAAUGAGUCAUUUAA